CCUACGCGCGGCAGCAGUGAGUAAUCUUGGUCAAUGGACGAGAGUCUGAACCAGCCAAGUAGCGUGAAGGAUGACAGCCCUAUGGGUUGUAAACUUCUUUUAUAUGGGAAUAAAAUGUUCCACGUGUGGGAUUUUGUAUGUACCAUAUGAAUAAGGAUCGGCUAACUCCGUGCCAGCAGCUGCGGUAAUACGGAGGAUCCGAGCGUUGACCGGAUUUAUUGGGUUUAAAGGGAGCGUAGGUGGAUUGUUAAGUCAGUUGUGAAAGUUUGCGGCUCAACCGUAAAAUUGCAGUUGAAACUGGCAGUAUUGAGUACAGUAGAGGUGGGCGGAAUUCGUGGUGUAGCUGGGAAAUGCUUAGAUAUCACGAAGAACUCCGAUGGCGAAGGCAGUUCACUGGACUGCAACUGACACUGAGGCUCGAAAGUGUGGGUAUCAAACAGGAUUAGAUACCCUAGUAGUC
rnacentral:rRNA from 1 species